AUAUGUAUAUAUUCAACUAAGGUUAAUUACAUGACAUCUAUAUAUUCAAACACUUUUGAAAUAUAUGUUUGUAUGCUUUUGAACUGUGUAUUGUGUGUACCAAAUUAAAUGUAUGUUAUGCUUAUUAUUAUAUUUGCUUUUGUUUCAAGAUUUGCUUUUGC